rnacentral:rRNA from 1 species
UACGGAGGGUGCAAGCGUUAUCCGGAUUCACUGGGUUUAAAGGGAGCGCAGGCGGAUUUGUAAGUCAGUGGUGAAAGGCUUAAGCUUAACUUGGGAACUGCCAUUGAUACUAUAAGUCUUGAAUGUUGUUGAGGUUUGCGGAAUGGGUCAUGUAGCGGUGAAAUGCGUAGAUAUCUGGAGGAACACCGGUGGCGAAGGCGACAUCCUGGACCGACACUGACGCUGAGGAGCGAAAGCCAGGGGAGCGAACGGG